AGAUAGGGGAAUUGCUAGGUUCAUGCUGUUUUAGUUUAUAGGUAGUUUGGGGUGUGUGGGGAGAAGGAUUUAACCCACAAACAGGAAAUGUGGCUAGAGAUGCUGUUGGGGUUUUGCUUUGUGUGGAUAUGCUUUUGAUCUCACCAGUGCUACCCCCAUGUUUAUAAUUCCAUUUUCAAAUUGUAGUAAUGCUUUUCAUAAUGCCUAGAUUCCCCCUCCCUCUACAGCUGGUGUUUCGCCUUCCUCAACACUUUAGUCCCAGACCGUUACAGGGUAGGGGAGCUCCCACCUUCAUGGUGAUGAGCUUGCACCUGCAGACUUUGUUGUCCUAGUUCUCCUACGUCCACUGCUGCUUUUGCAGCCUCUUCGGUCAAGGUUUCAUAGCAAUAGACACAUCAUAGGGCAAUAGCAGAGCAUCCUGCAAACUUCUUACCAGAGCCCCAGGUGUCUGCACAGCAGCAUAGGGAACCUGGCUAUUGCCUGUUGCUGUACUGCCCAAGGAAAACUACCAAUUAAAAUCCACUGGUAACACAGAAGCUGCUGCAGUGGAUUUAUCAGUUUCUUUAUAUCUUCAGUGCCUUCUGCUCUGGGUGCCUGUAGUUUUACAGAGUUAGCAUAUAACCCCAUCUCUCCUCAGCCAGAGGCUGCAACUGUUUUGGCAUUCCCACAAUUCCUCUGUAGUAAACUUUUCUUCAGCGUUGCUGAUUUAGAGUGCGUGCUUUUGUUCCAAUCCAGCAGGAGCAGCAUUUCAGUCGUUGCCUAUGCUUGUGUGUCGUAUUUAUAGGAGCUGUUGAACAGUUGCUGUGUUGAAUCCCAGAAGUGGCUGUAUUUUACUAGAAGGUCCUUAGCCUAAAUCUGAGGGAUGCUGAACACCCACCUCUUCCAAGGAAGUCACUGGAAGCUGCAAGUGCUCAAUACCUCUCAAAAUUAGGCCUGUAUGUAGAGCACAAGGCACUAUGCUAUAGUUCUGGUUCUGUUGUAAGUUACAAUAACAUACUAACCAAAAGAUGUGAGUGCCAGCACAAGCCGUUGAUUGUAAUAUAGAGCCUGCUGGAUUGCUAGCUCUUCACACACUGAGAACCAGUAGCAAGAUCUACAAACUACUGAAAUAUUGGAUUGCACAGGAGCGUACUGCUGACUGCAAAAUGACCUUCCUGAUCCCCUCCAAAGUAUGGUAGCACCGGGUGCAGCACAGUACAAUAGAGUAGGAAGGUGGAACAGAAAGGUUGUGACUUGCCAAGACCACAGAGUGAAUCAGAACCUGGAUUAGAACUCAGGACUUCCUGGUAACUGGUCCUGUGCUCAAGCCAUUACCUCAUUUCCUUGUCUAUAAUAAAUAUGGUGGUGGUUAGGUUUAAAUUUUCUUGUAAUGUUUCAGCUCUAAUCGCUGCUAAUAAUUGAAAACACUUCAUCUCACAACAGCUGUCUCAAGAGUUUCCAUGAUAACCAUGUGACUGUGUAAUGAGAAUAUGAGUUAAUUUUGUCAAGGUGAAGUUGGUACUUUUGAGGGAUAAGGAAAUAAGAAUUCAAUUACUUUCCAUUAAGUGGGUUGGUUGCUAUAAUUGCUUGUUGGUCUAACAGGUUUCCCCAUUUUGAUGUCUACUAUUUUGUUAACCUGAACAGAAAAUAAGCCUAAACCUAAUAUAUGCCCAG